GCAAGUCGCGCGCGAAAACCUUCGGGUGAGUAAAGCGGCGAAAGGGUGAGUAACACGUAAUCAACCUACCCUCCAGAUUGGGAUAACCGCGGGAAGCUGCGGGUAAAACCGAAUGGUCUUUUCGGGAGGCAUCUCCUGGAAAGUAAAUGGCGGCUUCGGUCGCCGCUGGGGGAGGGGGUUGCGGCCUAUCAGCUUGUUGGUGAGGUAAUGGCUCACCAAGGCGAUGACGGGUAGCCGGUCUGAGAGGAUGGUC
rnacentral:rRNA from 1 species